GAUGAACGCUGGCGGCGUGCCUAAUACAUGCAAGUCGAGCGAACAGACGAGGAGCUUGCUCCUCUGACGUUAGCGGCGGACGGGUGAGUAACACGUGGAUAACCUACCUAUAAGGCUGGGAUAACUUCGGGAAACCGGAGCUAAUACCGGAUAAUAUAUUGAACCGCAUGGUUCAAUAGUGAAAGACGGUUUUGCUGUCACUUAUAGAUGGAUCCGCGCCGCAUUAGCUAGUUGGUAAGGUAACGGCUUACCAAGGCAACGAUGCGUAGCCGACCUGAGAGGGUGAUCGGCCACACUGGAACUGAGACACGGUCCAGACUCCUACGGGAGGCAGCAGUAGGGAAUAUUCCGCAAUGGGCGAAAGCCUGACGGAGCAACGCCGCGUGAGUGAUGAAGGUCUUCGGAUCGUAAAACUCUGUUAUUAGGGAAGAACAAAUGUGUAAGUAACUAUGCACGUCUUGACGGUACCUAAUCAGAAAGCCACGGCUAACUACGUG
rnacentral:rRNA from 1 species